rnacentral:piRNA from 1 species
AGCUCCUUCCCAGCUGGUGUCACCUACUCU